UAUGGCGACCGGCGCACGGUGAGUAACGCGUAUGCAACCUGCCUGAUACCGGGGUAUAGCCCAUGGAAACGUGGAUUAACACCCCAUAGUACUUUUAUCCUGCCUGGGAUGGGAGUUAAAUGUUCAAGGUAUCGGAUGGGCAUGCGUCCUAUUAGUUAGUUGGCGGGGUAACAGCCCACCAAGACGAUGAUAGGUAGGGGUUCUGAGAGGAAGGUCCCCCACAUUGGAACUGAGACACGGUCCAA
rnacentral:rRNA from 1 species